ensembl:lncRNA
CCGUGCUCUUUAGGAAUGACAUCAUUUAUAUGUAGACUAAAGAGCAGUUCAUUGUCUUACUUCAGCUGGCGUGAUGGCCGUCUGCACUGAGCUGUCUGAGAACUCGUAAACACUCAUGGGACAGCUUAAAAAGAAGUCUGGCUGUCCUAACAUUCCAUAUGCUGUCCUAACAUUCCAUAUGCUGUCCAAACAUUCCAUAUGCUUUUCAAACAUUCCAUAUGCUGUCCUAACAUUCCAUAUGCUGUCCUAACAUUCCAUAUGCUGUCCUAACAUUCCAUAUGCUGUCCUAACAUUCCAUAUGCUGUUCAAACAUUCCAUAUACUGUCCUAACAUUCCAUAGAGCAGGUGGGAGAGCAGGUGUUAUAGACUGUAGACCAGGUGUUAUAGACUGUAGCCCAGGUGUUAUAGACUAGAGAGCAGGUGUUAUAGACUGUAGAGCAGGUGUUAUAGACUGUAGACCAGGUGUUAUAGACUGUAGAGCAGGUGUUAUAGACUAGAGAGCAGGUGUUAUAGACUGUAGAGCAGGUGUUAUAGACUGUAGAGCAGGUGUUAUAGACUGGAGAGCAGGUGUUAUAGACUAGAGAGCAGGUGUUAUAGACCGUAGAGCAGGUGUUAUAGACUAGAGAGCAGGUGUUAUAGACUAGACCAGGUGUUAUAGACCUAAUCAGGUGUUAUAGACUAGUGAGUAGGUGUUAUAGACUAGACCAGGUGUUAUAGACCUAAUCAGGUGUUAUAGACUAUAUCAGGUGUUAUAGGCUAGAGCAGGUGUUAUAGACUAGACUAGGUGUUAAAGACUAGAGAGUAGGUGUUAUAGACUAGACUAGGUGUUAUAGACUAGAGAGUAUGUGUUAUAGACUAGAUUGCACGUGUUAUA